GGCUGAGGGAAGAACGCCGUGUAUCUGAGGGACUCGCUCACGAGAGGCCGAGGGCGGGACACCUCAGUGGGCCUGCCUGCCUCCCCCGCUUUACUUACGCGAAAGGGCUUUCCGACGCGCAGCUCUGCGCCACGCGCGCAGCCCGAACCUGAGGAGAAAUUAGGCCCUUCCUUAUAUAGCCCUCCCCCCCGCGUAAAAAUGAAUUUAGGCUGCCGAACCUGGCUAUCGUCGUGUAUCAUUUCUUUACCAGAAAAAAAAUAAUCUCGAGAAGGGACCCAGAGGGUCAUCAAGUCCAACCCGCUGCAAAUGCGGGUAUCUUUUGCCCCACCUGGGGCUCAAACUCACGACCCUGAGGUUUUCAGAGUCUCAAGCCCACACCAAGCUCCCACGUCAGUUUGGAGGGGUAGGUUGCCCAGCAAAUUUUGUUGCCCGCUUUCAGCAUAAGCUGAAAGGAUAAAUCCGAGGCAAAUCAAAAGGCGGUGAAGUUUUUGUUGUCGCUGAUCGUGCAACAGGGAACUGGCGACAUCAAAUCAAUAAGAGCUACCGGUAAUUAAAACCAGCUCCAGCGGAUGAGAAAAGGGCAUUUUGAAACAACAACAACAACAGAGUCUUCCUCUGUAACUGGAAAGUUGUUGAAGGUAAUCUAAGCAUUCCCAAUACAGAGGAAUGGUUCCACCACCAAAAAAAGCCUCUUCUCUGGUCAGCACCUGCUUCCUCACAGAUGGUAGUAUCAUAGAAUUGUAGAUUUGGAAGCGACCAUGAGGGUCAUCUAAGUCCAACCCACUGCAAUGCAUCCAACAUGAACCUCAAACCCAUGACCCUGAGAUCAAGAGUCAUGCUCUACCAACUGAGUUAUAUGAUUCAAAGGAGGGACUCGGAUGAAAAUCAUAAGGUUUUGGAUAUACAAGUUUUUUUAAAAAAUAAUAAUAUAUAACAGCAUGUCCAACUCCCAAGAGACUGCGAUCUACUCCCACUAUAAAAAAAACCUGGCGGUGAUCUACCCAUUGGAUCUACCCAUUCUUUUUUUGGGGGGGGACAUCAAUCAGAAUCACACAAUCGACCAGGAUCAACCGGGGUGGACCGUGAGUGACCAGUAGAUCGCAAUUGACUGGUUGGACAUGCCUGAUAUAUGACUCUUCCUAGUGUUAUGAGUUUGGGGAAGUAGGCUGUACACCUAGACCCUUCUAGUCCCUGAAUCUAGCAAGUGUUAAAAUAAAAGCCAGCCUAUCUUCUUGAUGAGACAAUUGCCUGGGUGAUGGGCCAUUAUUAAGAGAACUAAGGAAAGGGGUUCUGUGUAAGAUAGAAAUGGGUACCACCCACUCACUCUGCAACGGUUAAUUAGAAGGAAAAGGCAGAGUUGAGUGGCAGUGAAGCAAAAAAGCAGCAGGCCAGGGAAAUAGACAGAACAACGUUUGUCUUCUGUUUGAACCCAAGGCUGUGGUUAUGGGAGAAACGAGACCUUUUUGCUAUGAACCCCUCCAUUGUAAGCCCAGGUUAUAAACCAUAUAUCACAAAAGCACCAGAGUCUCCAUUGCGCCUCAUUCCCAAAGGAAACAUGAAUCCUGGGUAAGUGUCUGAAACCCCUGGGAUCUCAUACCACUCAGAGAUUGGGUGCCAUGUAAUACUCCGUACAGAAUUACAGAAACUACAAAUAACGAAUGGUAGUUUGUUGUCCACAUGACAUUGUCUUCAACAAAAUGCCAUUCCAUAGUUUGAACACCCCCCCCCCAUUAAAUCACAAUUUAUCAUUUCUGCAGUGGGGGUGGGGUUUGCUUACUGGUUUAUUUUUAUUUUUUUGGUUGAAACAGUAAAUCCAGAUAUGCAACAGCAUUUUGGUGAGGUCGAAAUUGUGUGGACACUGCACAAAACUUUUCACACAAGAGCAGCAGCACUCAGUUCACUCUAAACUACCGUGUGAAACUCCCCGAUAAUGGAAAUGGAAAUAAAGAAUCAUGGGUGGUGUAACUACAGCCAAAAUUUUCCCCAUUUGUGUGCAGGCAUUCUUUCCUUUUCAUGCAACACUGCCAUUUUUAUCUUGCUCAUAAUAAAUUCUACAGACUGAAGUGUGCUGUUUUCUUUUUUGCUUGCCAGUUCCAGGGAGCGUUGAAGACUUGAGGCCAAGGGCAUAAAGAGAUUUAUCAAUCAAACAGUUGAGAAAGGAACUUCUCAAUAAAGUUGUUUCUCAUUUAGGG